GCCAGCGUGGCAUAGUGGUUUGAGCAUUGGGUUAUGACUCUGGAGACCAGGGUUCAAAUUCCCGCUCAGCCA
rnacentral:tRNA from 1 species